CCCUAGCCCAGAUUGCAGCGGCAUCCUCUUGUUGUAGCGCUAGCGAAAACAAGAGAUAUAGCGAAAAGCUGGAAGAAGC
rfam:Flavobacterium fryxellicola strain DSM 16209 FBFR11, whole genome shotgun sequence.